CCUGAAGACCAGCCCGCACACCACCUCAGAGGCCAUGGCUCCGGGCAGCCCGUGUUGAAUCCAGGUAAAAGUAGCCGAGGAUUGUCUCUCUAAGGUUUCUCUUGCAUCCCAAACUCCUGCGCUCUGUCAAAUCCCAGCUGACAUCAAACUGGUGCGCUCCUCCAAACGGCCACAUCAGCUCUCCCUGAUGACACCUGGACUCCGGCGGUUAUUCCACAGAGAGAGAUUGCGCAUUUACCGAGGUUCACCACAGCAGCAGGCAUGUCACCGGACGCUACAGGACGAGUCUGUGAUUGACACCUGACUCAGCCAAUCAGAAGUCUUCGUGUGGUAACCGGUCCAGCCCCCCUGUGAUAAUUGGAAGCAAGAGGUCUGCUGUCCAGCUGUUCAUCAGAGAGAAACAGCGACACCUACCGGCAUGAAACCAGCACGUCAAACAGGCCUGUCACAUUUCUCCAUGCAGGCAGGAAAAAU